CAUGCAAGUCGAGCGCCGUAGCAAUACGGAGCGGCAGACGGGUGAGUAACACGUGGGAACGUACCUUUUGGUUCGGAACAACACAGGGAAACUUGUGCUAAUACCGGAUAAGCCCUUACGGGGAAAGAUUUAUCGCCGAAAGAUCGGCCCGCGUCUGAUUAGCUAGUUGGUGAGGUAACGGCUCACCAAGGCGAAGAUCGGUAGCCGGCCUGAGAGGGCACACGGCCACACUGGCACUGAAACACGGGCCAGACUCCUACGGGAGGCAGCAGUGGGGAAUCUUGCACAAUGGGGGCAACCCUGAUGCAGCGACGCCACGUGAGCGAUGAAGCCCUUCGGGGUGUAAAGCUCUUUCGGCAGGAACGAUAAUGACGGUACCUGAAGAAGAAGCUGCGGCUAACUACGUGCCAGCAGCCGCGGUAAUACGUAGGCAGCGAGCGUUGUUCGGAGUUACUGGGCGUAAAGCGUGCGUAGGCGGUCUUGUAAGUCUGGUGUGAAAUCUCCCGGCUCAACUGGGAGGGUGCGCCGGAAACUGCAAGGCUGGAGUAUGGGAGAGGUAGGCGGAAUUCCUGGUGUAGCGGUGAAAUGCGUAGAUAUCANGAGGAACACCUGUGGUGUAGACGGCUUACUGGACCAUGACUGACGCUGA
rnacentral:rRNA from 1 species